rnacentral:lncRNA from 1 species
AAGGGAGGAAGAGAGGGGGCGUGGAGGCUCUUUUGGAGGCUAGGAGCAAUCUAAAAAUUCUAUCCUAGAGACCUAAAGAAGGGUCUCUUAAACAGAGGAGUAUCUAGAAUCCUAACCAAAAUCAAUUUUGUUGUAAAACACUAGUCUAAUCGCAUUAGGACUCCUUUUUAAAUCAGCCUUUUGACCAUGCCUAAGGGAAUGUUGGUGCCCUCUAGGGCUCUCUCUCUCUCACGCCAA